AGCGUACACGGUGGAUGCCCUGGCAGUCAGAGGCGAUGAAGGACGUGCUAAUCUGCGAAAAGCGUCGGUAAGGUGAUAUGAACCGUUAUAACCGGCGAUGUCCGAAUGGGGAAACCCAGUGUGAUUCGUCACACUAUCGUUAACUGAAUACAUAGGUUAACGAGGCGAACCGGGGGAACUGAAACAUCUAAGUACCCCGAGGAAAAGAAAUCAACCGAGAUUCCCCCAGUAGCGGCGAGCGAACGGGGAGCAGCCCAGAGUCUGAAUCAGCUUGUGUGUUAGUGGAACGGUCUGGAAAGUCCGACGGUACAGGGUGAUAGUCCCGUACACCAAAAUGCACAGGCUGUGAACUCGAAGAGUAGGGCGGGACACGUGGUAUCCUGUCUGAAUAUGGGGGGACCAUCCUCCAAGGCUAAAUACUCCUGACUGACCGAUAGUGAACCAGUACCGUGAGGGAAAGGCGAAAAGAACCCCGGCGAGGGGAGUGAAAAAGAACCUGAAACCGUGUACGUACAAGCAGUGGGAGCACCUUCGGGUGUGACUGCGUACCUUUUGUAUAAUGGGUCAGCGACUUAUAUUCUGUAGCAAGGUUAACCGUAUAGGGGAGCCGCAGGGAAACCGAGUCUUAACUGGGCGUUAAGUUGCAGGGUAUAGACCCGAAACCCGGUGAUCUAGCCAUGGGCAGGUUGAAGGUUGGGUAACACUAACUGGAGGACCGAACCGACUAAUGUUGAAAAAUUAGCGGAUGACUUGUGGCUGGGGGUGAAAGGCCAAUCAAACCGGGAGAUAGCUGGUUCUCCCCGAAAGCUAUUUAGGUAGCGCCUCGUGAACUCAUCUUCGGGGGUAGAGCACUGUUUCGGCUAGGGGGUCAUCCCGACUUACCAACCCGAUGCAAACUACGAAUACCGAAGAAUGUUAUCACGGGAGACACACGGCGGGUGCUAACGUCCGUCGUGAAGAGGGAAACAACCCAGACCGCCAGCUAAGGUCCCAAAGUCAUGGUUAAGUGGGAAACGAUGUGGGAAGGCACAGACAGCCAGGAUGUUGGCUUAGAAGCAGCCAUCAUUUAAAGAAAGCGUAAUAGCUCACUGGUCGAGUCGGCCUGCGCGGAAGAUGUAACGGGGCUAAACCAUGCACCGAAGCUGCGGCAGCGACACUAUGUGUUGUUGGGUAGGGGAGCGUUCUGUAAGCCUGCGAAGGUGACCUGUGAGGGUUGCUGGAGGUAUCAGAAGUGCGAAUGCUGACAUAAGUAACGAUAAAGCGGGUGAAAAGCCCGCUCGCCGGAAGACCAAGGGUUCCUGUCCAACGUUAAUCGGGGCAGGGUGAGUCGACCCCUAAGGCGAGGCCGAAAGGCGUAGUCGAUGGGAAACAGGUUAAUAUUCCUGUACUUGGUGUUACUGCGAAGGGGGGACGGAGAAGGCUAUGUUAGCCGGGCGACGGUUGUCCCGGUUUAAGCAUGUAGGCUGAUUGUCCAGGCAAAUCCGGAUAAUCAAGGCUGAGGUGUGAUGACGAGGCACUACGGUGCUGAAGUAACAAAUGCCCUGCUUCCAGGAAAAGCCUCUAAGCAUCAGGUAACAUUAAAUCGUACCCCAAACCGACACAGGUGGUCAGGUAGAGAAUACCAAGGCGCUUGAGAGAACUCGGGUGAAGGAACUAGGCAAAAUGGUGCCGUAACUUCGGGAGAAGGCACGCUGGUGUGUAGGUGAAGCCCCUGCGGGUGGAGCUGAGACCAGUCGAAGAUACCAGCUGGCUGCAACUGUUUAUUAAAAACACAGCACUGUGCAAACACGAAAGUGGACGUAUACGGUGUGACGCCUGCCCGGUGCCGGAAGGUUAAUUGAUGGGGUUAUCCGUAAGGAGAAGCUCUUGAUCGAAGCCCCGGUAAACGGCGGCCGUAACUAUAACGGUCCUAAGGUAGCGAAAUUCCUUGUCGGGUAAGUUCCGACCUGCACGAAUGGCGUAAUGAUGGCCAGGCUGUCUCCACCCGAGACUCAGUGAAAUUGAACUCGCUGUGAAGAUGCAGUGUACCCGCGGCAAGACGGAAAGACCCCGUGAACCUUUACUAUAGCUUGACACUGAACAUUGAGCCUUGAUGUGUAGGAUAGGUGGGAGGCUUUGAAGCGUGGACGCCAGUCUGCGUGGAGCCAACCUUGAAAUACCACCCUUUAAUGUUUGAUGUUCUAACGUUGGCCCCUUACCGGGGUUGCGGACAGUGUCUGGUGGGUAGUUUGACUGGGGCGGUCUCCUCCCAAAGCGUAACGGAGGAGCACGAAGGUUAGCUAAUCCUGGUCGGACAUCAGGAGGUUAGUGCAAUGGCAUAAGCUAGCUUGACUGCGAGCGUGACGGCGCGAGCAGGUGCGAAAGCAGGUCAUAGUGAUCCGGUGGUUCUGAAUGGAAGGGCCAUCGCUCAACGGAUAAAAGGUACUCCGGGGAUAACAGGCUGAUACCGCCCAAGAGUUCAUAUCGACGGCGGUGUUUGGCACCUCGAUGUCGGCUCAUCACAUCCUGGGGCUGAAGUAGGUCCCAAGGGUAUGGCUGUUCGCCAUUUAAAGUGGUACGCGAGCUGGGUUUAGAACGUCGUGAGACAGUUCGGUCCCUAUCUGCCGUGGGCGCUGGAGAAUUGAGGGGGGCUGCUCCUAGUACGAGAGGACCGGAGUGGACGCAUCACUGGUGUUCGGGUUGUCAUGCCAAUGGCACUGCCCGGUAGCUAAAUGCGGAAGAGAUAAGUGCUGAAAGCAUCUAAGCACGAAACUUGCCCCGAGAUGAGUUCU
rnacentral:rRNA from 1 species